GGAAACUUUAUCAACAGCAGUCAGAACCUCAUCUGGCUCAUAUUGAAGGCAAUGGGUCCAAGUCCAUGAGCAGUUCCUUGGUUCCAGGACCAGAGGAGCAUUUAUAUGCAUAAAUAUGUGACCAUUAUUUAUACCUCAAGGUGAUGAUCUUCUGGUCCAUGUUGCCGCACAAGCACAACAGUACCGUGGCUGCCCCUAGGACGGACAGCAACUAGGCAGCAGCUGGUGUUCGGAGGGCCUGGACCUUAAAUCACCUGACGACAUAUUUCGGACUGAGGCAAGAGGAACACAGGAUCGGACUGGAUCAGGAUCCAGGUAAGUUGGUGACUCUGGAUAUGCAGGAUACCAGACAUACAAGUUCGAUUAGAGGGUAUACACCCUCCUUGACAACGCUGGUCUCUUGCUGCACAAAGGAACCACACUCAACUGCCUCCCAGAUGGACAGAGACAGCUAACAGUCAUGGAAUCCUUUUUAAAAGCACCAGGAUGCCAAAGUUCCACAGCGACACCAGCUGGAACUGGAUUUCACAUGAAAUUCUGUCAGCUUUUUCCACCCUUAGCACAAAGUGCGCGAAAAUGUCCAAGAGACAUAACUUUACCCCAACAUUGAACAAUUGUCACAACUACUAAAACAAACAGUACUAACACAUCAGAGAGGACACAACACACAAGUUUUCAUCCAACAGUGCUUACCGGAGGGGGGUGGAGGGGUGGAAGAAGGAGCUCCCCGGAAGCGCAACAGCAAUUCUCCUCCUUCAGCUCCUAGCUCCACUUGCUGCCUCUACCCCCAGGCACCGCUC